GCCUUUGUGGUGUAGUGGUCAGCACACUCGGCGCGUGGUCCAGAAGUCUGAGGUUCGAGUCCCGGCGAAUGCA
rnacentral:tRNA from 1 species